rnacentral:lncRNA from 1 species
CCUCCCGACUCUACUUGGCUCCUCCGGCGCAUCCUCACGCCGCCGCGUUUUCUAACUCGGCUGGCUCAAGCUUAACAAUAGGCUCUUAGAGCAAGUCCACCGGUUUGCUCUUGACUGGACAUAGUCAAGAAAAACCUGACUAUAUGACCUUGAGAUGGAUUUUGCUCCUUCCACCGGUGGUUUUUUGCCCGGGCAAAACCAACCCUUUCUUGACUACAGCCAAGAAAUAAGUCACAACCAUGACUAUUUUCCUGACCGGUCAAGCCCAGAUGCCAGCGGUUUCCAAGCCUGAUCGUGGCUGACGUGAGGAGGAGCUCAGCAAUGAUCGUGGGCGACGUCAUCACCAGACCCUCCACUGCGCCGCAAGGAUUCACUUGGCCGGACGAUUUGCUCUGCUGGGUUGCUUCGAUCUAGGCCUAGGGGAAGCUUCUGGGCUGUUUGACGCCACAGAGCUGCAGGAGGAGGUGAGGCGACCUCGGGGGGGGGGGGGGGGGGGGGGGGGGCCGGGUCCUUGGCCAGAGAACGCUGGAGGACGGAGAAAAAUCCGGGUCGGGUCGG